rnacentral:rRNA from 1 species
GACGAACGCUGGCGGCGUGCUUAACACAUGCAAGUCGAACGAUGAAGCCUUCGGGUGGAUUAGUGGCGAACGGGUGAGUAACACGUGGGUGAUCUGCCCUGCACUUCGGGAUAAGCUUGGGAAACUGGGUCUAAUACCGGAUAGGACCAUGCCAUGCAUGUGGUGUGGUGGAAAGCUUUUGCGGUGUGGGAUGAGCCCGCGGCCUAUCAGCUUGUUGGUGGGGUGAUGGCCUACCAAGGCGUCGACGGGUAGCCGGCCUGAGAGGGUGUCCGGCCACACUGGGACUGAGAUACGGCCCAGACUCCUACGGGAGGCAGCAGUGGGGAAUAUUGCACAAUGGGCGCAAGCCUGAUGCAGCGACGCCGCGUGGGGGAUGACGGCCUUCGGGUUGUAAACCUCUUUCAGCACAGACGAAGCGUGAGUGACGGUAUGUGCAGAAGAAGCACCGGCCAACUACGUGCCAGCAGCCGCGGUAAUACGUACGGUGCGAGCGUUGCCCGCAAUUACUGGGCGUAAAGAGCUUGUAGGUGGUUUGUCGCGUUGUUCGUGAAAGUCUCACGGCUUUUUGUGAGCGUGCGGGCGAUACGGGCAGACUAGAGUACUGCAUGGGAGACCGGAAUUCCUGGUGUAGCGGUGGAAUGCGCAGAUAUCAGGAGGAACACCGGUGGCGAAGGCGGGUCUCUGGGCAGUAACUGACGCUGAGAAGCGAAAGCGUGGGGAGCGAACAGGAUUAGAUACCCUGGUAGUCCACGCCGUAAACGGUGGGUACUAGGUGUGGGUUUCCUUCCUUGGGAUCCGUGCCGUAGCUAACGCAUUAAGUACCCCGUCUGGGGAGUACGGCCGCAAGGCUAAAACUCAAAGGAAUUGACGGGGGCCCGCACAAGCGGCGGAGCAUGUGGAUUAAUUCGAUGCAACGCGAAGAACUUACCUGGGCUUGACAUGCACUAGAAACACCUAGAGAUAGGUGCCCCCUUGUGGUUGGUGUGCAGGUGGUGCAUGGCUGUCGUCAGCUCGUGUCGUGAGAUGUUGGGUUAAGUCCCGCAACGAGCGCAACCCUUGUCUCAUGUUGCCAGCGGGUAAUGCCGGGGACUCGUGAGAGACUGCCGGGGUCAACUCGGAGGAAGGUGGGGAUGACGUCAAGUCAUCAUGCCCCUUAUGUCCAGGGCUUCACACAUGCUACAAUGGCCGGUACAAAGGGCUGCGAUGCCGUGAGGUGGAGCGAAUCCUUUAAAGCCGGUCUCAGUUCGGAUCGGGGUCUGCAACUCGACCCCGUGAAGUCGGAGUCGCUAGUAAUCGCAGAUCAGCAACGCUGCGGUGAAUACGUUCCCGGGCCU